rnacentral:rRNA from 1 species
GUCGGCCUACGGGAGGCAGCAGUCGAGAAUCAUUCACAAUGGGGGAAACCCUGAUGGUGCGACGCCGCGUGGGGGAACGCAGGUCUUCGGAUUGUAAACCCCUGUCAUGUGGGAGCAAAUUAAAAAGAUAGUACCACAAGAGGAAGAGACGGCUAACUCUGUGCCAGCAGCCGCGGUAAUACAGAGGUCUCAAGCGUUGUUCGGAAUCACUGGGCGUAAAGCGUGCGUAGGCUGUUUCGUAAGUCGUGUGUGAAAGGCGCGGGCUCAACCCGCGGCCGGCACAUGAUACUGCGAG